CAAACUAAAGCUUGUGAAGUUUUUUAUUUACAUUAAAAAGGGUGCUAUGUAUUUAGUAUAGUUUGA
rnacentral:tRNA from 1 species